rnacentral:misc_RNA from 1 species
ACACAAGCAGGCUCGGUCAUGUUUGAGAACGUCUGCACGUUUGAUGGAUGUCCUAUUCCAUUAAUAUUAUGAUCAACUAACACAAGACAAAUUAUGGAUCCUCGCUCAAGUGCCCAGGAUGUGCAUCGAUGUGACCUUUGUGAGACCGCCAUAGUACACAGCUACUGUGACUUUUGCCAUGUCAACCUCUGCAAGCCCUGUAUACUAGAUCACAUCUUAGAUGAAUAUGACAAACAUAAAAUAGUGCCAUUCAAGGAACGAAGAUCAACCCUCGUUUAUCCAAAAUGUAGGACGCAUCCACACAAAAAUUGCGAUUUGCUGUGCAAGAAUUGCAACAACCUUUUUGUUUGCUCCUCUUGUACUGCCUCUGAACAACACAAGGGACAUCUAUUUGUAGAUGUUACAGAGGUUUACAAGACAAAGAAAAAUAUUAUCGAAAAAGACACCGAGGAAUUAGAAAAUUGCAAUGGACUUGGAAAAUCAGCUUGCCAACCUGGAUGGAGGAUAUGAGAAACUUACAACAACAAUGUCCAAACAAGGAGAGCAAUGGCACAGAGAAAUCGACAUCGUUAUCAACAAAAUGAAAACUGAAAUCAGCGAGAUAAAAGUGAAACACAAAGGUAUUUUACAGAAACACUUGGAUGAAAUCAAACAGAUACAGUCUCUGAUAAAACAAACAUUACUUGCCUUAAACGAAUUCGAGAAAUCUACUGCAGUAGCUCCUACCAUUGAAUACAAAUCGAAGGUCGGGGAGUUUAGCAAACUUCCACCCAAUGUUCAAUUAAAACUGCCGACAUACAUUCCAAAACCAAUAGAUCGUGAGAAGCUGUAUAAUUUGAUUGGACAGAUCACCGGUACCCCAUUAUCUACUGCUAUAGAAGAAAAUGUAUUGCCACAGAACAAACCCAACACUUCAGAGAACUACUGGAUGAACCGGAGCUAGUUGCCACAAUACAGACUGGGUAUGAAAAACUACUCGGUGUUACCUGUCUAGAUGAAGACAGUGUUUGGACGUAUGGAAGGGCCAAUAAAAUCAAAUGCUUCAACAUUAAAGGUCAACUUCUCCAAACAAUCGAAACAAAAUCAGAGCAAUGGCCUAGCGAUAUAGCUGUAGACAAUGAUGAGGAUCUACUGUACUCUGAUUGGAAAACUAGAUCAGUGAAUAAAGUAAAGAAUGGACAGAUAGAAGAGUUGAUCACAUUACAGGGUUGGACACCUUAUAAUCUGUGUGUCACCUCUACUGGUGAUCUCCUGGUUACCAUGCACAGUAAGGAUAAAACUCAAUCCAAAGCUGUCCGUUACUCAGGAUCUACAGAGAAACAAACAAUUCAAUUUGAUGAUAAAGGUAAACCUCUGUACUCUGGAGAUAGUUAUAGUAAAUACAUCACCGAGAACAGAAACCAUGACAUCUGUGUAGCUGACUAUGAGGCUGGUGCAGUAGUGGUGGUUAAUCAGGACGGUAAACUUAGAUGGAGAUACACCGGUCAUCCCUCAGUUACCAAGAACAUACCAGUUAAACCCUAUGGUAUCACAACAGACAGCCAGAGUCGUAUCCUGACCACAGACUGUGACAACCAUUGUAUCCAUAUUCUGGAUCAGAAUGGACAGUUUCUCCGUUACAUUGAUAACUGUGAUCUGGAGUAUUCUACUGGUUUAUGUGUGGACAAUAAUGACAAUCUGUUUGUGUCAGAAUAUAAUAAAGGCAAUGUAAAGAAAAUAAAAUUUCUAAGAUAGACACCAAAUUGGUGAUUGAAAAAAAUAAAGCAGAAACCAUUUUCAUUAUUUUGGUAAUUUUUUUAUAACUUAUGGUAUAACGAACAGGUAAUUAAAACCCAGUCAUCAUUUCCUCAUUCACUAUAUUACAUAUUAUAUACGUGAUAUAAUACAUGAUUGUUGAG